rnacentral:lncRNA from 12 species
AAGAGCCCCAGAGAACAAACACAGGGGAAGAGCAGUGUGCAUUCAGUGCUACAUGUGUGGAACUAUCUUGGGUGGAAUUUCUCCAAGCAGAGAGAUGACUUCUCCAAACUGUAUUUCUGGUAGUGACCAGCAGCUCCAUAAAAGGUUUUCCAGCAGUCUGGGUUCCCAUGCAGACAAACAGUUGCUUCAAGGGAAUAUUUGCAGGGAAAUCAUCAGUGGCCAACCUCUGAGAGACAAGAGGGACCAGGAGCAACGUGAAACUCGCCUGGCUGAGAGUUCCCAGCAGCCUGCAGGGAAAAUCUUCUGCAGGCUCCUCGGGGAAUGGGGCUCUUGAGUUCUGGCAGAUGUUGGGGUCAGUGAGUCACGGGUCUCUGAAUUUUUCAGAGAGAAAUCAGAGAAUUAAAGCCUAUGGAUGCAUUGAAGUACAUUAAGCCACUCACACAUAGGGUAGAGGUGAAAGUUUAAGUUUUAGGGUAAGUCAGUCAGUAAGUUUUAGUAUGAGCUCUAAUGCUUUUAGUAAGUAAAAGGUUCAGGUGCCAAAACAGAAGUGCGAGUUCUAGUGAAGGUUGGAA